rnacentral:lncRNA from 13 species
CCCCGCAGGCUCCUGACGUCCUGAACGCGCACAGUUCCUCCGACGUACUGCAUGAGAUCACGAGAACAAGCAGCCAAAUCUCAUUCCUCCAGGAACAACUCUACUCACUCUAGGACCUAUGGAUAGAAUCCUGGGAGGACAGGCCAAUGCCAGCAGAAAAAGGUAUACACCUAUGUGUGAUGGUUAAUAUUGAGCGUCAACUGGAUUGGAUUGAAGGAUGCAAAGUAUUGUUCCUGGUGUGUCUGUGAGGAUGUUGCCAAAGGAGAUUAACAUUUGAGUCAGUGGACUGGGAGAGGCAGACCCACUCUUCAUCUGAGUGGGCACCAUCUAGUCAGCU